UUUCACUGAAACAAGGGAAAACAUUAGCAGCAGUAAGGAAUUUUAUGUAAUAUACGAAAGUAAGACAUAGUUAGGACAUUUUUAUCUGUCAAAUUAAGUGCCAGCAGACGCGGUGAAACUUAAGGAUUUGUUUUUUAGAAAAAGCAGAAAACGUGUAAAGGUAAAAAAAUAUUUAAAAUAAAUAGAAUUUUUUUAGUAAUAGUGAAAUGUUAUUAUAAGGAAAAGAAUUCUUUAUGUGAAAAUAAUUUAUUUUUUUUUUUCUUAAGCACGAGGGUUUUGGGAGUAAACAGGAUUAGAGACCCUGGUAAUCAAUACAGUAAAAAAAAAUCGCUUGAGUAGUACGGUCGCAAGAUUAAAAUUCAAAAAAUUUGGCUGUUCAUUGUUAUUUAGAGGAGCGUGUCGUUUAAUUCGAUAAUCCGCGAAUUACCUUACCAAGACUUGGUUUUCCGGUGUUGCAUGGCCGUCGUCAAUUUAUGUUUGAUACAAUAAAUUAAACCCUAGAAAGGUUGAAGUCAGGUAUUAUUGCCCUUAUGUUUUGGGAUUAGAUGCGCUACAUUUUUUUAAUAAAAAAAAAAGAGUUCGGAUUGUUUUUUAAAUAGAGCAAUUAAGUUGGAUUUAAUAGUAAUUUAAAAGUAGAGCGUUUCAAUGAAUUUAAAACAAUGUUAGUACAAAUUGCUCGUCGCCUUUGCUGAGGUAAACAAAGCAGAGUAAGUCGUAACA
rnacentral:rRNA from 1 species